ACUUCUAACGCUACCACACGCUAACACAUUUUAUAUAUGUAUGUAUAUAAAUAAAAAACGUUCAUUUUUCAAAGUAAAAGUUUCAGUGUUAUUGUAUUUCAUACAAGAGUCAUUGGAUACCAUUGGAGUAAUAAAGGAUUUUAACGCUAAAUAUCUCCAGUGCUACCAAUCACAUUGUGUGUGUGUGAAAGUUUUGAAGUUUACGGAGACGAUGCUGCAUCAGUUUGUGUGGUUCGCUCGCUUCCGUUCUGGAAAUUUCGAAAUUUCGAUUUAAAUUGAUGAAAUUUCGACGACGUUCUACGUGAUGCCGCAAAAGGUUGGCCCACUUCAUGCAUCAAUUUAAUACUUUUCAUUUGAUUUUUUUCACCAUUUUUUAUUUUGUGUUUUCUCAUAAUUUUAUAAUUAAAAAAAAAAACUAACCAAAUUUUUUUUUUGUUUUAUACUAACCAUUUUGUUUGCAUAUUUUUAAGUUAAAUAUAUUAAAACUUUUCAGAGGUCACAUAUACGCCAUAAAUAGAGAUAUUCGCUUGCCAGCGUCAUUUCUCGUUCCGCAUGAGGAACAAAUGACGUUUAAGUCAAGGGGCAGUCCCCGCUAGUAAUUUGUAGCAGGCGGACGCAAAUGGCGGGGUCAUUCAUUUAGGCUCUGAGGAUUUUGAUGCACAGGAAGAGAAAUUUAAUAUUUCGCUUAGGGAAACACAAAACCCAAUCAUAUUUCUGCGAUGGAUCUUUGAGUCAUCAAAAAUGCCAAAAACAAUAUGAAAAUGCGUUGAACCAAAUUUCAUUAUUAAUUAAAUUAAUUGCAGAAAAAAAACCGAUAAUAAACUUGAAAGCCCAAA